UAGUCUCCUGAAGGAACGUUAAAGACGAUGACGUUGAUAGGCCGGGUGUGUAAGCGCAGCGAUGCGUUGAGCUAACCGGUACUAAUGAACCGUGAGGCUUAACCUUACAACGCCGAAG
rnacentral:rRNA from 1 species